GUAAAUGUGAACUCAAACUCCGUGGAAAACGAUGACAUUUUGCUGGGACUGGAACCGAGAAAUUUAAAGGGAUCCUUGCACAAGAGAAGACCAGAGCUUGAGGCACGAGGGUUCGUGAGUUGCACACGAGAACCAUCAUCGGAUAUCCUGGCGUCGCCGAGGAGAACAAUUUGGGGAUCGAAUUUGGGGUUGCUAGUGAUUAGGGUAACAAAUGAGUAACCAGAAAUGGGAUAUAGGGUUAGAAGAUGAAAAAUCAGGUACUGAAACCAUAAUGCAGACCUAAAAAUGUGUAAUGUAGCCA
rnacentral:misc_RNA from 1 species